rnacentral:rRNA from 1 species
GCCUGUUUAUCAAAAACAUGUCUGUGUGGUUAGUAAUAUAAAGUCUGGCCUGCCCACUGAAAUUUUUAAAGGGCCGCGGUAAUUUGACCGUGCGAAGGUAGCAUAAUCAAUAGUCUCUUAAUUGGAGGCUGGAAUGAAUGGUCGGACAAAGAGUUGGCUGUCUCUUUUAUAUUUUUUGAAGUUUACUUUUAAGUGAAAAGGCUUAAAUAUUCUUAAGGGACGAUAAGACCCUAUAAAACUUAACAGGUUUAUCUGUGUUUUUUAAAUUAUAGUGUAAUAUAAGCCACAGGUUAUUUGUUGUGUUGGGGCGACAAAGAUAUAAUUCAGUAACUGUCCAAUAAAUUUAAUAAUAAUAAUUAGUUUAGUUGAUCCUUUAUUAGAGAUUAAAAGAUUAAGUUACUUUAGGGAUAACAGCGUAAUUUUCUCUGAGAGUUCUUAUCGACGAGAGUAGUUGCGACCUCGAUGUUGAAUUAAGAUUUCUUUUAAGUGUAGCAGCUUAGGUAGUAGGUCUGUUCGACCUUUAAAAUCUUACAUGAUUUGAGUUCAAACCGGUGUGAGCCAGGUUGGUUUCUAUCUA